UACAGAGGGUGCAAGCGUUGUUCGGAAUUAUUGGGCGUAAAGGGUGCGUAGGUGGGUUGGUAAGUCAGUGGUGAAAUCUCCGAGCUUAACUUGGAAACUGCCAUUGAUACUAUCAGUCUUGAAUAUUGUGGAGGUCAGCGGAAUAUGUCAUGUAGCGGUGAAAUGCUUAGAGAUGGCAUAGAACACCAAUUGCGAAGGCAGCUGGCUACACAUAUAUUGACACUGAGGCACGAAAGCGUGGGGAUCAAACAGG
rnacentral:rRNA from 1 species